CAAAAGUCACAAGACUAUAAAUGCUUUGC
rnacentral:piRNA from 1 species